rnacentral:rRNA from 1 species
UACGUAGGGGCCAAGCGUUGUCCGGAUUUAUUGGGCGUAAAGAGCUCGUAGGCGGUUUCGGCAAGUCAGCUGUGAAAUCUCCACGCUCAACGUGGAGGGGUCAGCUGAUACUGCUGUGGACUCGAGUCCGGUAGGGGAGUGUGGAAUUCCCGGUGUAGCGGUGAAAUGCGCAGAGUAUCAGGAGGAACACCAAUUGCGAAGGCAGCUCGCUGGGGACGU